rnacentral:rRNA from 1 species
CCUACGGGAGGCAGCAGUGAGGAAUAUUGGUCAAUGGACGCAAGUCUGAACCAGCCAUGCCGCGUGCAGGAAGACGGCUCUAUGAGUUGUAAACUGCUUUUGUACGAGGGUAAACGCAGAUACGCGUAUCUGUCUGAAAGUAUCCUACGAAUAAGGAUCGGCUAACUCCGUGCCAGCAGCCGCGGUAAUACGGAGGAUUCAAGCGUUAACCGGAUUUAUUGGGUUUAAAGGGUGCGUAGGCGGUCGUAUAAGUUAGACGUGAAAUCCCGAGGCGUAACUUCGGAAUUGCCUCUGAUACUGUUCGGCUAGAGAGUAGGUGCGGUAGGCGGAAUGUAUGGUGUAGCGGUGAAAUGCUUAGAGAUCAUACAGAACACCGAUUGCGAAGGCAGCAUACCAGGCUACUUCUGACGUUGAGGCACGAAAGCGUGGGGAGCAAACAGGAUUAGAUACCCGAGUAGUC